rnacentral:rRNA from 1 species
AACGAACGCUGGCGGCAGGCUUAACACAUGCAAGUCGAACGGGUGCGGCAAUUCAUCAAUGGCAGACGGGUGAGUAACACGUGGGAACCUUCCUAGGGGUACGGAACGACUCAGGGAAACUUGAGCUAAUACCGUAUACGUCCGCGAGGAGAAAGAUUUAUCGCCCUUAGACGGGCCCGCGUCGGAUUAGCCAGUUGGUGGGGUAAUGGCCUACCAAGGCGACGAUCCGUAGCUGAUCUUAGAGAAUGAUCAGGCACACUGGGACUGAGACACGGCCCAGACUCCUACGGGAGGGAGCAGUGGGGAAUCUCGGACAAUGGGCGCAAGCCUGAUCCAGCCAUGCCGCGUGAGUGAAGAAGGUCUUCGGAUUGUAAAGCUCUUUUGCCAGGGACGAUAAUUACGGUGCCUGGAGAAUAAGCCCCGGCAAACUUCGUGCCAGCAGCCGCGGUAACAC